rnacentral:lncRNA from 1 species
CUAUCUUUCUCUGUAAAAAGGUGAAGUCUCAAGCAAUGGAACAAUCCUGCCAUCUAUCUUCGGAGAAUUCUACCAAUGCUUGAUGAAUCAUAGCUCUGGCCUUGCGAAAGGUGGGAUGUGGCCCUUCUCUUCAUGGUCAUCUUAUGGGCAUUCUGAUUAUGAUGUAGUGGAAUGGGCUUUGUCUUUUUUUUUUUUUUCUCAAAAUAUCUAGAUGGAAGUAGACUGUUAUGUAGUAAGUAGAGAGGGUCUUGCCUCGUUUGAUCUGUGUUGGUCUUGUUACUGGCCUGAGCUCCACUCUUGUAAAGCAUGACUUAUUCUCUGUUGAGAUAAAAGGCUGAAUCUUAGGAAGUGGAUCAUUCCCUUGGUUGUUUUUGUCUUCCCGUUACUCGAUACACCCUUCCAUCACAGAGCUCCCUUCAAUAUGCAUUUCCUAUAGACCUCCCCUCCAAAAUCUCAAAAACCCACU